rnacentral:lncRNA from 1 species
GCUCCACGGAUUAUUGUUUUUUUGUUAUGUGGUAUAUAUUUUUACUUAUGUACACUACACACAACGAUCCUGUGUGAUGACAGCGACGGUUGGUGAUGCAAGCAUACAUUGAUUGAGGUUGAUGCGGAGAUAAGAUCUCAAAAAUUGUUUGUGGAGAUAUUUGAAGAGGGAAAGAAAUUUUCUUGUUGGCAAGAAAUAAGGUUUCUGUGUUUGGAAAAUGUUUUAGCGAAUUAUCCCCAUCGCUAGUUUCUUAUACUUGUGAGUGUGAGUGUUGCAUCUUUUAGGUUGCCUCUAGCAUUAUCCAAAAUGCAGCCGUUAAUUGUCUUCUUAGGUGUUUUGUAAUGUAAAAUUAGUGGCCUUUAAUAUACAAAUGCCUUCUUUGCCAAGUCAGUUUGAUGUCCAAUGUUAUUUAUGGGUUGGCCCAGUUAUUUUGAUAGAAGGGCGGAGUUCGAUAAUUUGGUUGGUUUACAUUUGCGAUUGGGUCGGGUUUGGGGCUUGAGCUGUAGAUUUGGUGAUGAUAUGAUUACUUUGUAGGCCUUUGUAGUUGGGUAAUAGGUUGCAGGUUACUAAGGGUAUGAAUGUUUUCCCACUACCACCCACAAACGCAGCUUUUGCGGUUAGUAGCGGUUAUUGGCUUUUGACAACAAUCGCUCAAACCGCUCCAAACCGUUUCAAACCGCUCUAAACCUCAUAAAUUCAAAAUUUGGUUUCAGCUAGCGUUUGCGGUUGUGGACGGCUGCGAGAGGAUAAUUUUUUUUCUUUUUUUAAAACAAUAUAAAUACAAAAAUAAAAAUAUUCAACAAAA